rnacentral:rRNA from 1 species
UUACGGGUACGGGGAUUAGGGUUCGAUUCCGGAGAGGGAGCCUGAGAAACGGCUACCACAUCCAAGGAAGGCAGCAGGCGCGCAAAUUACCCAAUCCCGACACGGGGAGGUAGUGACAAUAAAUAACAAUACAGGGCUCUUUUGGGUCUUGUAAUUGGAAUGAGUACAAUUUAAAUCCCUUAACGAGGAACAAUUGGAGGGCAAGUCUGGUGCCAGCAGCCGCGGUAAUUCCAGCUCCAAUAGCGUAUAUUAAAGUUGUUGCAGUUAAAAAGCUCGUAGUUGAAUUUCGGGGUUCUACCGUUGGUCGGGCUUUGUCUGUACUGGCGUGUAGAAUUUCUACCUUCUGGGGAACCAUUAUGUUAUUAAUUUAGCGUAGUGGGAAACCAGGACCUUUACCUUGAAAAAAUUAGAGUGUUCAAAGCAGGCUUAUGUCUGAAUACAUUAGCAUGGAAUAAUAGAAUAGGACGGUGGUCCUGUUUUGUUGGUUUCUGAAUCACCGUAAUGAUUAAUAGGGAUAGUUGGGGGCAUUAGUAUUCAAUUGUCAGAGGUGAAAUUCUUGGAUUUAUUGAAGACUAACUUCUGCGAAAGCAUUUGCCAAGGAUGUUUUCAUUAAUCAAGAACGAAAGUUAGGGGAUCGAAGACGAUCAGAUACCGUCGUAGUCUUAACCAUAAACUAUGCCGACUAGGGAUCGGACGAUGUUAAUUUUUCUUGACUCGUUCGGCGCCUUACGGGAAACCAANUNUUUUUUGGUUNACCA